rnacentral:lncRNA from 1 species
GAUGAUGCUAAAAGAUUUAUGCUUGAUUGGCCAACAAGGUUUAGCAUAAUCAAAGGGGUAGCUAGAGGACUUGUGUACCUCCACCAUGAUUCUAGAAUGACGAUAAUUCACAGAGAUCUCAAAGCAAGCAAUAUCUUGUUGGAUGCGGAGAUGAGACCCAAAAUAUCAGAUUUUGGCAUGGCAAGGAUCUUUGGUGACAACCAGCAACAAGAAAAUACUAGGCAUUUUGUUGGGACAUAGUGAGUAUUAAUUCCUGCACUGGACUAAACAUGCUUAAAAACUCUUUAUGUGCUUCAACUAAUUAAUUCUUGUACACUUACUUGUGGAACUAUUCAAACAACGGCUACAUGUCACCCGAAUAUGCGAUGGAAGGCAUUUUUCGGCCAAGUCCGACACAUAUAGCUAUGGGGUCUUGCUACUGGAGAUCGUAAGUGGGUUGAAGAUGAGCUCACCUCAACAUUUCCCAAACCUUAUAGAUUAUGUAAGUACUACCAAAUGCUUUGAAUUUGGCCUGCUCAUGUACUCUUAUAUUUUGAUAUAGAGGGAGUACAACAUAGCGAGUGUAGGUACUAACUUAUUAUCGACCAUGUUUCAGGCAUGGAACUUACUGAAAGAAGGAAACUCGAAGGAUUUCCUAGAUACUGUGCUGCUGAACAGCUGCUCGCUGCAUCAAGUGUCGUUGUGCAUUCAUAUCGCAUUAUCGUGCGUUCAGGGCAGCCCGAGUGGCAAGCCACUCAUGUCGCUAGUAGUCUCUAUGCCGGAAAACGAGGCCAUGCCACUCACGAUGCCAAGGCAGCCUUCGUAUUUCGUUGGAAGGAGACAUGAAGCGGAAGAAGCGAGGGAGGGCUCUGUUAACAGCGCGGGCCUGACGACGCUAGUAGGACGCUAGAUGCUCUGCCUAGCAUCAGCUAUGCUUCUCUGCAAUGUGGUGACCUGAGUGCCCUGGAACAUCAAAGGAAGCAGAUUACCGUUGACUGCCAAGUGGGUUUCAGUAACCAGCUGCAGGUGGUGCUCCAACGGUCGGUUUAAAAUUAGGGUCAAUUCCAUUUUCCCCCCUAAUCUUGCCCCAGUCUCAGCUUUACCCCUAAAAAAAGCAUGUGCUCAACUUUGCCCCUCUUUCGUCUGGUGCCACUUCAGAAAUACCCCUCCACGCCGUUUCCGUCCAGUCAAAGUGGUUUGACCGUUUUAGGGACAAUUUUGGGACAAGUUUGCCCCUACUUACAUGUGGGGGGCUGACCGAACAGUUAUCUCUCUCGGUUUUCUUCUUCCUCUCGACGCUAAGAACAAAGUGUAGGAGGAGGCGGCUGCUCAGGCGAUUUCGACAGCUCGGUGCUGGAGAGCUAGGAAAGGAAGAUGGCAUCCAUGUUCUCGACGGCUCAGUGCUUGGCGACUUCAGCCGCGGAGGACGAGGUUAGUAAAGUCUGCAUAUUUGGGGAUUUCAGAUCUAGGGUUUGUGCGGAUUUGGGAUUUUUUAGCCAUGUGCAUCCGAUUUUGUUUGUAGGUGGAUGGUUGCGGCAUUGUGCAGUUUAGUUCAGAGCAUUUCAUUCCCAAUCCCAUCUUCUGUGGCCUUGAGGAGCGCUCGAAGCAUAGAUGCUCAGGGCAUGGGCUAGUUCCGGCUCGCCGUGUAGCUUGGGGAGGAGCAAGCACUUGUAGACAUUUUUGGGGUUGUCCAGUUGAUGUAAGUGCUAUAUUUCCCUCAAUUUGAUAUAUUUUUUGUCGAAUUGAUGCUAAGGUUUCAGUUUGACAUUAUUUUUGAACUAUGCUUUUGCAGCUUCCCGAUGAAUGUGAUUGGGUUGUAUGGAUUGACCCCCCUCCUACUGACUAUGUUGGGCUUGCUUUUGAGGAUUUACAUGCUACCCUUGAACACAGUUGGAUCAAAGCAAGCAAUCUGGAGAGGAGGGUUGUGGAUCUUACCACUAAAAACAAGAAGUUGAAGCAAAAGUUGAAGAAAAAGAAUGAGCUGAUGGAAACAAUGUGCUUUGUCAUUGUUCUUGGCAUAAGCAUUGUGGCUAGUCUUGUUUCUGUGUGGUCAAAUUAGGCUAUUGAAGUGUUUGUUGAUGUAGGUUAUGUUGUUAUGUUUUGGAGCCUUUAUGUAAUGGAGCCUUUAUAUAAUGGUGUGAACUAUGAAAUUGUAGUAGAUGUUUUGGAGCCUUUAUGUUAUGUUCUGGAGCCUUUAUGUUCUGGAGCCUUUAUGAAAUGUCCAUUUAUAUAAUGGUUAUGUUGUUAAUGUGGUUUAAAUCCUGUAUGAAUGCACAUUGGGGUACUUUUGGCUAGUGAUGUUUCCAUGUGGUAAAUAUGAGCACAAAUAUAUAUCAAUCCAGGGGCAAAUAUGAGCACACAAAUAUAGCACAAGGGCAAAUAUGAGCACACGAGUGUAGCACAUGGACAAAUAGGAGCACAGAAGUGUAGCACAGUGACAAAUAUGAGCAUAGAAGUGUAGCACAGGGCAAAUAUGAGCACAUUACACAGGAGUUCACAACAGUUUGACAACAUGCAAAGCAACACACAUCAGUUAACACAUUACAUCUAACAUAGCAGUUCAUCACUCUAGUUGAACAGAACCAACAUUAAGCUGAUCACACUAGUUUGGCCCUCUUGCUCCUAGUGUUGGCAGCAGGAUUUGCAACUUUGCUCCUUGUGCUGACAGCAGAGUUGCCGCCUUUCGCCUUCUUCUAUGGUGAUCCCCACCUAGUUCGUCUCUCAGCAGCUCUUUUAGUACAUUUCUUUGGACUGAGAAGCAUUAAACAAUCAAGAUGAGUACGAAAUAAUGAAGUUACACAAAGAAUCCAUGAACAUGUAGUAGAAAACAUACCUGACAAGUGCUAUUGGAGAGCUUGGAGCUGGGGCAGAGCUUGGAGCAGUUGGUGGAGAGCUUGGAGCUGGUGGAGAGCUUGGAGUAGUUGGUAGAGAGGUUGUAGCAGAUGGUGGAGAGCUUGGAGCAAUUGCAAGAGCAUUUUCUGGAGCAUUUUCUGCACCCCAAUGCUCAUCUUCUCCAAAUGCAAGAUCAAUUGACUCUUUGCAAUGGGUGCCUAUGUGACCAAGUCUGCCACAUCUACUGCAUUUCUUUUGCCUUCCUCCAAGACCUUUUCCUUCUGCCUGUUCCCUUAUCCUAGUUUUCCUUGGUCUUCCAGGUGGUCUAUUUUGCACUAGUGCACACAGUUUAAACCCAGUAUCAACAAUGUCCCACUGCUGCUUCCCCUCCAUUGCAGGCAAAUUCUCUGCAUAAGUAAGAUUGAAUCUAUGCACGGAGUAAAAUUCAUGCACAUACUGAUCAAUCUCACUUGCUGGACCUCUGAGUGAAGUAAUGAAGUAUAAUGCAUGAAUGCAUGGUUGUCCAGUGAUUUGCCAUUUUCUGCAGCUACAAGUUUGUGCUUGCAGAUCAACAGGAUACCUCCACUCCCUCUUCUCUUUAUCAAUUGCAGUCACCUCUGCCUCAUGAGUACUUCUCUUAACAAUGCUCAUAUCUAAGGUCUUUGAUUUUGCCAUUAACUGUUUCAUCACUUUGGGGACUAUGAUAUGCCCUCCAUAAGUGCCAGCAGAAAUGCUUUGCCUUAGAUCAAAUUUCUCCAUUAAGACUUGCCUAAUUUUGUCUAGCAGGUCUACAAUGUGUAGUCCUUUCCAAUUUCUGAUUUUGGAAUUGAAAGACUCUGCAAGGUUAUUGUUCACAUAAUCUAACUUGCACUUCUCAUUGAACAGUGCCCUGGCCCAUAUCUUGCUGUGAUGUUCAUCCAGAUAAUCUUUUACAUCUGGCUUGCUAUACAACUGCCUGAUAUGGUAAUUGUGUUUCUUUAAGCUAAAUGUUAGGGAACAGGGCCACAAGUUCUCAUCAAAAAAUUUCCCUUUAAACUUCUUGGUGAAGUUUGCAGCUAAGUGCCUCAUGCAUUCUCUAUGCUCUACUCCAAGGAAUACAUCAUCUACAGCUGCCUCUAAUCCUUUACAUGCAUCAGUGUGUAUGACUAGACCAUCUGGGUGGCCUAUCAGGUUUUUCAAGUGCUCAAAGAACCAUGUCCAACUCUCCAGGUUCUCUACCUCUAGCACACCAUAUGCAACUGGAAAUAUCCAGUUGUUUGCAUCUACAGCACAGGCACUGACUAGUUGUCCUUUGAACCUACCAUUGAGUGCAGUGGCAUCUACCGCCAGAUAUGGCCUACAACCUUCUAAAAAACCCUUCCAGCAUGCCUUAAAUGACACAAACACUCUCCUAAAGCACUCUUUGGACCUGCUCUGACCAUUCUUUUCAAACUGAACAGUGUGCCUAUCAAUGUGAACUACACUACCAGGUGAUGCUUUCUCUACCUCAGCCUUGAAUGUGUACAAUAAUUGAAAACUGUCAGUCCACUUACCAUAGAUGUUGUCAAUGGCCAUCUGCUUACCAUAAAAUACUCUCAUGUAUGGCAGCUGCAAUCCAUACUUCUUCUUCAAGUCAAUUUGAAGUUGUGUGACCCUUAUAUUGGAGUUUUCUUUCACCCAGUUCUUAACUGCAUCUGCAAUCCAUCUGCACUUUGCUGAUCUCAACCUUUGUCUUCUUGUCACACUUGGGCAUGUGUGAGGAUUUCUGUUUACUUUGACCUGCAGUUAAACAUUGUAACAAGGAUCAGAAUCAUAAACAACAUAUCAAUCAUAAGGAACAUGCACAGUUAACUGUUAGUGUACCUGAAAUAGUUUGGUAUUUUUCAGAAAGGAUGCAUGCAUCCUCCACUUACACCUUUUAUAUGCACAAUGUAUUGUUAGCCUACCAAGCUCACUCUUGUCAAUUUUGAAUUCACUCUGAGUCUUGAUUGCAUAAGUGGCUAAUGCAUUUCUGCACUCUACAACAUUAGAGAAUAUAGUUCCUUCUACAAGAGAAGGAUCAUCUCUGUUAAAAUGCACAUCUGGCCUGGCCUCAUCAGAACUCUCAGAAUAACCCAUGUCAUUGUCCUCCUCUCUCUCAUCUGAAUAUGUCUCAGCAAACUCUGGAGGGGAAAUGUAAUCAUCUUGUUGAGCUGCUUCCUUCCCCUUUGGCUUCUUCCCUAUUACAAAUCCAGGAUGCAUUAAUUCAUCAUCAUCAUCUGUUGGUACAUCAUCAGGUUGUUCCUCUUCUAUGAUUGGAUCAGCAUCUGGUUGCUUGCUACUGCUAGGACCUGGUUCAUGCACAACACUAGUUUCUGAAUUUCUUCUUCCACCUGAACUACCUCUGCCACCUGAAUUCCUUCUUGCACCUGAACUACCUCUGCCACCUGAAUUCUCUCUUGCACCUGAACUACCUCUGCCACCUGAACUCCCUCUUCCUCUUGUUUGACUGCACCUAGCUUGAGAACUGUGAGCUUGAGAUCUAGUUCCUCUCCUCUCAGUCUCUCCUCUAAGCCUUUGUAUCACAUUAAUUUCUAAAUCUACUGUCUUAGUUUCAGCAUUGGUUGCAAACAUAAUUCCCAAUUCAUCAUCAGACUGCACUGGCACCCAAUUAGUAUUUCCCAUGUCCCAAUACCUAAAUUCUACAGCAUCAUAGAGGCCCCAUGGAUAUUUAUCUGAGAUUGCAGAUCUAAACUUCACAAAUGUUGAUGUGCAAUCAACUACAAGACGAAAAUUAAACCCUGUGCCAGAUCCUUUUGUACCAGAAGUGCCUAACACGACGGUUUCCAUCCUACAGUUGAGAUAGAAAGCUCUAGCUGGAUCCAUCCUACGGUAAAUGUUGAGAAAAAUUAGAGGAAGGCAAAGACAGUGAGCAUGGCAAUUGUGCGAGUAACCUAAUGGAGACACUUACCCCGUUGGAACAGUUGGUGUGGUCGCCGCUGUGGUCUGAGAGCUCUCAGCUCUACCGCUGCCGGCGCCACUUCCACGAACGACAGCUAUCCGCGAAAUCCCUCGGUGAAGAGGAGCGGCGGGUCAGAUCCAGCCGCCGCGCAUCUCAAUCCCCAUGCUAUCCCUCCACGGCGGCCGACGGCGAACCAAAUCGUGGGCGGGCUAGGGUUAGGGUUCAAGUCUCCAGAGAGAAGAGAAGAGAUGAGAGGAGAGGAUAUCUGUGAGUGAGUGACUCUGUCCGAAGGGCCCCACAUGUAAGUACUAGGGGUAAAUUGUCCAAAAUGUGUCUCCUGCUACAGAUGGUUUCUCUGACUCCAAUGUGCUUGGCAGAGGAGGCUUUGGCGUAGUAUACAAGGUAAUAUAAAUGUCACCUUAACGAUUACAGUAGUGAAAGGCAUUCUUUCAUUGUUAAUAUGAAUUAUGUAACCAUGUAGGGCACACUGGAAGGUGGCAAGGAAGUUGCUGUUAAAAGGCUUAUCAAGUGUUCUGAUCAAGGAAUGGAGCAUUUUAGAAACGAAGUAGUUCUUAUUGCAAAACUGUAGCACAGAAACUUAGUUAGACUUCUUGGUUAUUGCAUCCAUGGAGCUGAGAAGGUUCUUAUUUACGUAUACUUACCCAACAAAAGCUUAGACUACUCCCUAUUUGGUAUGUCCUAAUCAUGUAUAAUGAUUCUUGCGUUGAGCAAAGGAGCAUUCCAGAUUUUGAGACUAAUAUGGCUUCACAUGAUUUAUUUCCGGCAUGCAGAUGAUGCUAAAAGAUUUAUGCUUGAUUGGCCAACAAGGUUUAGCAUAAUCAAAGGGAUAGCUAGAGGACUUGUGUACCUCCACCAUGAUUCGAGAAUGACGAUAAUUCACAGAGAUCUCAAAGCAAGCAACAUCUUGUUGGAUGUGGAGAUGAGACCCAAAAUAUCAGAUUUUGGCAUGGCAAGGAUCUUUGGUGACAACCAGCAACAAGCAGAUACUAGACAUGUU